GACGAACGCUGGCGGCGUGCCUAAUACAUGCAAGUAGAACGCACAGUUUAUACUGUCGCUUGCUACACCAUAGACUGUGAGUUGCGAACGGGUGAGUAACGCGUAGGUAACCUGCCUGGUAGCGGGGGAUAACUAUUGGAAACGAUAGCUAAUACCGCAUAAUAUUAAUUAUUGCAUGAUAAUUGAUUGAAAGAUGCAACUGCAUCACUACCAGAUGGACCUGCGUUGUAUUAGCUAGUAGGUGAGGUAACGGCUCACCUAGGCGACGAUACAUAGCCGACCUGAGAGGGUGAUCGGCCACACUGGGACUGAGCCACGGCCCAGACUCCUACGGGAGGCAGCAGUAGGGAAUCUUCGGCAAUGGACGAAAGUCUGACCGAGCAACGCCGCGUGAGUGAAGAAGGUUUUCGGAUCGUAAAGCUCUGUUGUAAGAGAAGAACGGGUGUGAGAGUGGAAAGUUCACACUGUGACGGUAUCUUACCAGAAAGGGACGGCUAACUACGUG
rnacentral:rRNA from 1 species